AUGGAUUGGGGCUGGAUCAUGUUCUACCUGCUGACAGCAGCUACAGAUGUCCACUCUCAUGUUCAUCUGCAGCAGUCUGGGGCUGAACUGAGGAGUCCUGGAUCUUCAGUAAAGGUGUCCUGCAAGGAUUUUGACUCAGAUAGCUUCCCUAUUUCCUACAUGAGUUGGUUGAGGCAGAAGCCUGGACAAGGCAUUGAAUGGAUUGGAAACAUACUCCCAAGCAUUGGCAGAACAAACUACGGACAGAAGUUUGAGGACAGAGUCUCACUGGAUGCAGACACCAUGUCCAGCACAGCCUUCAUGGAGGUUAGCAGCCUGACAUAUGAAGACUCUGCUGUUUAUUACUGUGCAAGGCACAGUGUCACAGCCUACAUCUGGAGUAUGCCAAAAAUUCUGAAGAAACAGGAAGCUGCCUGGGGGUGGGUAUGA